rnacentral:lncRNA from 1 species
UGUCCUGCAAGGUUGAAGUGCUUGCAAGGAACCCGGCUCGGCGGUCGCGUUCCAUUAAGAAAGCUGCGUGGUCAUCACCGAGAGGGCUGGCUGUGUGCGGGGCGGGGCGGGGCUGGCCGCUCCGUGUCCAGCAAGGCCGCUCCCACCCUAAAGCUUGUCCCUGGCUUGCAGGCUUCUCUAACCAACCAGCCUCCGUCCAUAACGCCAGCCUCGAGUCAGGCCGGAGGCCUGCCUGUCUCCCGUGUCCGUCCCGAGUGGGGACCCUGGGGGAGCCUGGUCCGAGGGGGCACCGGACACCACGGAGCCACAGCUUCGAGCCCGUGGGCCCAGCUGGGGUUUUUCAGAUGGGCUAAUGCAAAUGGUCCUGAUAGACUCUUGGAGAUUAAUGGCCAGAAAGUGGCUCGGCACUCGAUUCCGCAGGGGCUGCCGGCCUGCCCGUGCGCUGCAGUGCAGAGGAAGUGGAGUGAGCACGCUGGCCUCCGUCUCAGGGCCUGCCUCGAGCAGCUGCCGCAGGUGGCCAGGCCCUACCCAGGCAGCUCUGCACCCUGGAGGGGGGACAGCCCUCUUCUCCCCCUCGGUCAGAGACUGGGCCCUGCCCUUUCGCACUCACGCAAGUGUGCAGGGCCGGUUCCGGGCCAAGUUCCGCGCUGCUCAUUGGGGGUUCCGUGCGGCCGGGGGCCGCCGCCCACAGGGAGCUCGGUCUUCCGUGGCCACCCACACCGGGCCUGCAGGUGCUCCCGUUCCGUACUUGGCAGUUCUACUCACGGCAGCUUAGGGGUAACCCCAGAAUUCAGACGGGGGUGGGGGGGCUUUCAUGGUCAUCUAGGGCUAGAAGCGGCCUGGCGCCCAAUGCACACACUCCCGGCUGCAGCCAAGCAGGCGGCCCGCUCCGCCUGCCCAACUCGGCUUUCCUGCAGUAACCAAGGGUCCACGUGGCUACUCAGCGCCACGUUUUCUGCAGUUCGGGGCAUGGCUGGUGAGAACUCAGGACCCUGGGCAUGGGGCACUCCUGAGUCCAGGCCGAAAUCACAGAGCCACUGGACGUCAGCUUAA